ACUAUACGUACUAUUUUUACUUAGAGAAGUGAAGAGAGCCAUUUAAUAUUUCUUUUUUGAUAAGCAGGGAUCAAUAUAUAUAGAAAUCAUAAAAUAUAGUUUACAUCAUAAACUGUGUUCAAUGGGACAUUUUCUACUUAUUACAAGAUUCUAUAAUGUCUCUUAGGACAUUUUUGGAUUUCAAAAGAUACAAACUUAGUGCAGACAUCUUUACUAAGAUUUUUUACUGGAUAAAUAAUUCCUUCAUAGUCUGAAGUUAAUGCAGUGGUUACAAAAAGAGGUGCAUAGUACAUAAUCUUGAGAUCCCUGCCAAUGUUGUCUUGAAGAGCGCUUCUAGCCCGUAGGAAAACAAUUUAAAGGUAGAAGACCUUUAAAUGUAAGAAGGAAAGAGAUUUUGUUUAG
rnacentral:lncRNA from 1 species